rnacentral:miRNA from 1 species
UACGAUAUGAUUGAAUUUGAUGUAUAGAAGCAUAGAUGGUGAUAUUUGAAUUUUACUACUUAAUUGAUAUUAGGUCUCAUACUCUACCUAAUUUAAAGUUUAUAUUUUUGAGAAUAAUUAUUUGAAUAUAUAUAUAUAUAUAUAUAUAUUCAAAUAAUUAUUCUCAAAAAUAUAAACUUUAAAUUAGGUAGAGUAUGAGACCUAAUAUCAAUUAAGUAGUAAAAUUCAAAUAUCACCAUCUAUGCUUCUAUACAUCAAAUUCAAUCAUAUCGUA